CUUCACCGAGCCCAGCCACAGCGGCCGCUCCGCCGACCGGUCACGCCCGUACGUCGCGAGCAGGGCCUCGGCCUC
rnacentral:antisense_RNA from 1 species